UACGUAGGAGGCAAGCGUUGUCCGGAAUUACUGGGCGUAAAGGGCGCGUAGGCGGCGUGUCAAGUCAAUUGUGAAAUCUCCGGGCUUAACUCGGAACGGUCAAUUGAUACUGAUGUGCUAGAGUGCAGAAGGGGCAAUCGGAAUUCUUGGUGUAGCGGUGAAAUGCGUAGAUAUCAAGAGGAACACCUGAGGUGAAGACGGGUUGCUGGGCUGACACUGACGCUGAGGCGCGAAAGCUAGGGGUAGCAAACGGG
rnacentral:rRNA from 1 species